rnacentral:lncRNA from 10 species
GGAGAAAGGAGCACUUUUAUUUAUCUAUUAUUUAUUUUAUUUUAUUUUAUUUUAUUAAUUAAUUAUUUUUUUUCUUUUUCUGAGACAAGGUCUCAUCUCACUCUCUUGCCCAGGCUAGAGUGCAGUGGCCUGAUCUCAGCUCACUGCAGCCUCAGCCACCUCAGCUCCACUAGCAGCUGGGACUACAGGCACAUGCCAAGUUUCCCAGGCUGGUCUCAAACUCCUGAGCUCAAGAUCCUCCCAUCUCAGCCUCCCGAAGUCCUGGAAUUAUGAAAGAGGCACUCUUUUUUUCUUCUUCUUUUUUUUUUUUUUUUUUGAGACACUCUUCUCCGUCUUCCAGGUUAGAGUGCAGUGGGGUGAUUUUGGCUCAUUGCAACCUCCACCUCCCCGGUUCAAGUGAUUCUGGUGCCUCAGCCUCCUGAGUAGCUAGGACUACAGGUGUGUGCCACCACGCCAGGCUAAUUUUUCUAUUUUUAGUAGAGACGGAGUUUUGCCAUGUUGGCCAGGUUGAUCUCGAACCCCUGACCUCAGGUGAUUUGCCCACCUCUGCCUCCCAGAAGUGUUGGAAUUACAGUCAUGAGCCACUGCACCCAGCCAAAAGGCACUCUAGAACAUUGCUGGUGGGAGUAUGAAUUAGCAUAACCUUUACCGGGGACAACUUGGCACUGUCUAUUAAAACUACAAAUGUACAUACCUUUUGACUCAGCAACUGCUCUUCUAGAAAUCUAUACUACAGAUACAUUUGAACAUUUGCAAAAUGACGUAUAUUAAAGGUUAUGCACUGCAGCAUUGUGUGAAAUACAUGCAACAGAUUGGAAACAACUCAAGUGCCCACCGAUAGAGAACUGAUUAAAGUAAGCUCUAUCUCUAUUCCAUACAGCCCCAAUAAUGAGGAAACUGUCUACUUAUAGUAAUAUUUCCAAGAUAUAAGUGAAAUAAGCAAGAUUCAGGAAAUUGGUUUGAUAUGCUUUUAUUUAUGCAAAAACUUCUAUAUGUGUAUGCUUUUGUAGGCAUAGACUAUGUAUGGAAGAAUAUACAAUAGACUGAUAACAGUUACUCCUACUAAAGGGUAAGUAAUAUUACUGAGGUUGGGGAGAGGAUGAUUCAGAGCAAAAAUAAAGUGAGGACUUUAAGGACUUUAAUUCCU